CAGUAGGAGAAAAAGAGGGAAACUGGAAGACCAUAAAGUCACGUCUCAGAAAGCUCCUCUGAAUGGCUGAUUAGUGAGUCGAGAAGUUUAUUAGAAGACAAACAGCAUACAAAGGCUCCACUGCUGCGUGUCUCUCCAUGCUACCUUCCCAAACGAUUACUGCCGCCACACUGCACCCCUUUUCCUUGGAACAGGCAGCUCCAUUAAUGCAGCUGUCUCACCGUAUGCUGUUAUCGGCUCGACUCAUCACAGCAAGACCUCUAAAGCCUCCCUGGAAUUUCUGGCAGAUAUUAUCUCUUCCUAGAUAUAAUACAUUACCUUUUAAUAAAUUAGCAUGUGCCUAACUUUA